rnacentral:rRNA from 1 species
UUUGAUCAUGGCUCAGAUUGAACGCUGGCGGCAGGCCUAACACAUGCAAGUCGAACGGUAACAGGAAGCAGCUUGCUGCUUCGCUGACGAGUGGCGGACGGGUGAGUAAUGUCUGGGAAACUGCCUGGUGGAGGGGGAUAACUACUGGAAACGGUAGCUAAUACCGCAUAAUGUCGCAAGACCAAAGAGGGGGACCUUCGGGCCUCUUGCCAUCGGAUGUGCCCAGAUGGGAUUAGCUUGUUGGUGGGGUAACGG